CUUCUGUCUUUUUUUAAGAAGCACUGAGGAGUGGUACAAAUUGCUUCUCUUGUUAGUGGUUUCUUAAUGAAUUUCUUCUUCUGUUUGCUUUGAAGUUUGGGAAAGUGCUUUAUGUAGUCUGGCACAGGACAGCCAGCUCGCUGAAUAACAUUGGCUAUACUUCGUAAUAAAGGUUUAUCAUCUUCUGUAAAGAAGGUGACUGCUUUCCCUGUGUGUCCCGCUCUUCCAGUACGACCUAUUCUGUGGAUGUACUCCACUGCACUCGUCGGCAAAUCAUAAUUAAUGACCAUAUUCACUCCUUUGAAGUCAAUCCCUCG
rnacentral:lncRNA from 1 species